rnacentral:rRNA from 1 species
UACGUAGGGGCCAAGCGUUGUCCGGAUUUAUUGGGCGUAAAGAGCUCGUAGGCGGUUUGGCAAGUCGAACGUGAAAUCUCCACGCUCAACGUGGAGGGGUCGUUCGAUACUGCCGUGACUCGAGUCCGGUAGGGGAGUGUGGAAUUCCCGGUGUAGCGGUGAAAUGCGCAGAGAUCGGGAGGAACACCCGUAGCGAAGGCGGCACUCUGGGCCGGUACUGACGCUGAGGAGCGAAAGCGUGGGGAGCAAACAGG